rnacentral:lncRNA from 1 species
AAACAGAGUGUAAGUUGUGCCCAACGAAUGCCAUUUAUUUAUGAUCAUUUAUUGUGCACCUUGUGUGGAGCAUGUGGAGGAUCCUGCCACAUGCUGGCCGCUUGCCGAUCAAUUUGUUUGGUAUUCGGUUUCAGGAUUCUGCUGACUGAUUUCCUGUGGUUGCCAGCUUUAAGCGCUGGCUUUGGGGUUGGGCAGGUUGAC